CCAACAGGGAUUGCCUCAGUAACGGCGAGUGAAGCGGCAACAGCUCAAAUUUGAAAGCUGGCUCUUUUAGAGCCCGCAUUGUAAUUUGUAGAGGAUGCUUCGGGUGCGGCGCUGGUCUAAGUUCUUUGGAACAAGACGUCAUAGAGGGUGAGAAUCCCGUAUGUGACUAGCUGCCUGUGCCUGUGUGAAGCUCCUUCGACGAGUCGAGUUGUUUGGGAAUGCAGCUCAAAAUGGGUGGUGUACUUCAUCUAAAGCUAAAUAUUGGCCAGAGACCGAUAGCGCACAAGUAGAGUGAUCGAAAGAUGAAAAGCACUUUGGAAAGAGAGUUAAACAGUACGUGAAAUUGUUGAAAGGGAAGCGCUUGCAAUCAGACUUGCGCAGCGUCGAUCAACCUGGGUUCUCCCUGGUGCACUCGGCGCUGCUCAGGCCAGCAUCAGUUUCGGCGGUUGGAUAAAGGCCUAGGGAACGUGGGUUACUUCGGUGACUGUUAUAGCCCUAGGUGCAAUGCAGCCUGCUGGGACUGAGGACCGCGCUUCGGCUAGGAUGCUGGCGUAAUGGUUGUAAGCGACCCGUCUUGAAACACGGACCAAGGAGUCUAACAUCUAUGCGAGUUUUUGGGUGUUAAACCCAUAAGCGUAAUGAAAGUGAACGGAGGUGAGAACCCUUAAGGGUGCAUCAUCGACCGAUCCUGAUGUCUUCGGAUGGAUUUGAGUAAGAGCAUAGCUGUUGGGACCCGAAAGAUGAUGAUCUAUACCUGAAUAGGGUGAAGCCAGAGGAAACUCUGGUGGAGGCUCGCAGCGGUUCUGACGUGCAAAUCGAUCGUCAAAUUUGGGUAUAGGGGCGAAAGACUAAUCGAA
rnacentral:rRNA from 1 species